CUGCACUUGUACUGUAGACCUUUCUAAUUCCAGUAGUGUGGCCUUGAGCUAGGGUGCACAAAGUAAAAGCUGUUCUGUUUCAGCAGCGGCCAGACAACCUGUAGAGAUGGAUCCACAGGUGAAUGGCUCAAAUGCCAUUUGUCUACUGAUUUCAUCUCACAAUU
rnacentral:snoRNA from 1 species